GACGAACGCUGACGGCGUGCUUAACACAUGCAAGUCGAACGGAAAGGCCCUGCUUUUGUGGGGUGCUCGAGUGGCGAACGGGUGAGUAACACGUGAGUAACCUGCCCUUGACUUUGGGAUAACUUCAGGAAACUGGGGCUAAUACCGGAUAGGAGCUCCUGCUGCAUGGUGGGGGUUGGAAAGUUUCGGCGGUUGGGGAUGGACUCGCGGCUUAUCAGCUUGUUGGUGGGGUAGUGGCUUACCAAGGCUUUGACGGGUAGCCGGCCUGAGAGGGUGACCGGCAACAUUGGGACUGAGAUACGGCCCAGACUCCUACGGGAGGAAGCAGUGGGGAAUAUUGCACAAUGGGCGGAAGACUGAUGCAGCAACGCCGCGUGCGGGAUGACGGCCUUCGGAUUGUAAACCGCUUUCGCCUGUGACGAAGCGUGAGUGACGGUAAUGGGUAAAGAAGCACCGGCUAGCUACGUG
rnacentral:rRNA from 1 species